GACGAACGCUGGCGGCAUGCCUAAUACAUGCAAGUCGAACGCUUCUUCCAAGGGUGCUUGCACCUUUGGAAGAGGAGUGGCGAACGGGUGAGUAACACGUGGGGAACUUGCCCAUGAGUGGGGGAUAACAUUCGGAAACGGAUGCUAAUACCGCAUACGUCUCUUUUUCGCAUGGAAGAGAGAUAAAAGACGGCUUCGGCUGUUGCUCAUGGAUAGCCCCGCGGCGUAUUAGCUAGUUGGUGAGGUAACUGCUCACCAAGGCUGUGAUACGUAGCCGACCUGAGAGGGUGAUCGGCCACACUGGGACUGAGACACGGCCCAGACUCCUACGGGAGGCAGCAGUAGGGAAUCUUCCGCAAUGGACGAAAGUCUGACGGAGCAAUGCCGCGUGAGUGAAGAAGGUUUUCGGAUCGUAAAGCUCUGUUAUCGGGGAAGAACAAGGAUCGGAGUAACUGCCGGUCCCUUGACGGUACCCGACCAGAAAGCCACGGCUAACUACGUGCCAGCAGCCGCCGUAACAC
rnacentral:rRNA from 1 species